rnacentral:lncRNA from 1 species
UCAGUUUUGUAAGACAUCCACUAUAAUGAUCGCAGUCGACGAGGGAAGAAACGAGAGGGAAUGGUUUUGGCGGCGGCGUAUACGAAGAAGGUGAAGGAAGAGGAAAAUUGUGUUUCGGUCUUUUUUUUUUUGUAUUCCUAUUCUCUUAUUAUUAUUAUUAUUAUUAUUAUUAUUAUUAUUAUUAUUAUUAUUAUUAUUAUUAUUAUUAUUAUUAUUCAAAAC